UCUUGCGUGGCGAAAUGGUAGCCGCACUCGCCUGUUAAGCGAGCGCCGAAAGGCUUGUAGGUUCGAGUCCUACCGCAAGAGCCA
rnacentral:tRNA from 2 species